rnacentral:rRNA from 1 species
AUUAAACGCUAGCGGGAUGCCUUACACAUGCAAGUCGAACGGAGUGGCGAACGGGUGAGUACUGUAUCGGAACGUGCCCAGUAGCGGGGGAUAACUACGCGAAAGCGUAGCUAAUACCGCAUACUAUUGGAGCGGCCGCUAUCGGAUUCGCUAGUUGGUGGGGUAACGGCUAACCAAGGCGACGAUCCGUAGCUGGUUUGAGAGGAAGACCAGCCAAACUGGGACGGAGACACGGCCCAGAAUCCUACGGGAGGCAGCAGUGGGGAAUUUUGGACAAUGGGGGAAACCCUGAGCCAGCCAUCCCGCGUGUGCGAUGAAGGCCGUCGGGUUGUAAAGCACUUUUGGCAGGAAAGCGGUACCUGCAGAAUAAGCACCGGCUAACUACGUGCCAGCAGCCGCGGUAAUUC